rnacentral:ncRNA from 2 species
UCAUACAAAUUCGGGUGCUUGAGGAGUCAGGCUGAGAUUGUAGCCAGUAUACCGCUACGGACCGUUAAUCUGAUCUGGAUAAUGCCAGCGUAGAGAAUUCUUGUAUUUGUCGU